UUCAUACAGGGCGAUGGAGUUCGCCUUUAACCGCCGCAAGGCUGAUGACUCCUACCAGAGG
rnacentral:ncRNA from 2 species